UGCAGUCGAGCGAGAAAAGGGUAGCAAUACCCUGAGUACAGCGGCGCACGGGUGAGUAACACGUGGGUAAUCUGCCCUGGAGUGGGGAAUAACACCGGGAAACCGGUGCUAAUACCGCAUACGAUCACGAUGUCUGCGGAUGUUGUGAUGAAAGGAGCAAUUCGCUCCAGGAGGAGCCCGCGGCUGAUUAGCUAGUUGGUGAGGUAAUGGCUCACCAAGGCUACGAUCAGUAUCCGGUCUGAGAGGACGGUCGGACACACUGGAACUGAGACACGGUCCAGACUCCUACGGGAGGCAGCAGUGGGGAAUUUUUGGCAAUGGGGGAAACCCUGACCAAGCAACGCCGCGUGGGUGAUGAAGUCUCUUGGGACGUAAAACCCUUUCGACGGGGAAGAAACCGCAAGGUUGACGGUACCCGUAGAAGAAGCCCCGGCUAACUCCGUGCCAGCAGCCGCGGUAAUACGGGGGGGGCAAGCGUUGUUCGGAAUUACUGGGCGUAAAGGGUGCGUAGCGGUGCGCUAAGUCGGAUGUGAAAACUCUGGGCUCAACCCAGAGCCUGCAUCCGAAACUGGCGUGCUAGAGUUCUGGAGGGGGUAGCGGAAUUCCUGGUGUAGCGGUGAAAUGCGUAGAUAUCAGAGGAACACCGGUGGCGAAGGCGGCUACCUGACAGAAACUGACGCUGAGGCACGAAAGCUAGGGGAGCAAACAGGAUUAGAUACCCUUAGUCUAGCCCUAAACGAUGGAUACUUGCUGUGACUGGGGAAUCCAGUCGGCGAACUAACGCAUUAAGUAUCCCGCCUGGGGAGUACGGUCGCAGUGAAACUCAAGGAAUUGACGGGGGCCCGCACA
rnacentral:rRNA from 1 species